AGCUGGGCUCGAGUUGCUUGACUUGAUGAGCUAACUUCGACUAGCUACAUUCGUUCAUGUCUAUUGCAGAUGCCACAUUACUGAAAAAAGUUUGUACACAUAAAAAAGAUCUGUAACCGAGUAAAGGGAGACGUAAGACACUCCUCCACGACAUGAGGGCCAAGUGGAGAAAGAAGCGUAUGCGCAGGCUGAAGCGCAAGAGGCGAAAGAUGAGGCAGAGGUCCAAGUAGACUGCCUCCCCCUACAACACCAUGGCUGUGACCCUUCUGGACACAACACGGGACCAAGGAUCUCAUGUGCAAAGUCUGAUCAGAGCUGUGCCAUCAUUGCCAAUGAGAGGCUGCAAAGAGACAGUUCUACUGUUGUCUUGGUCAAGAGACUCCACCACCUGCCUGGGAAAUUUGAUAUGGGGACAUUCUGGAUUCUCUACUCUUCUACCAAACCUACCCUACUCCAUUGCUUUUGUUUAUAAUUUCCAAUAAAGUUUUUGGUUUAAA